AGAAAGGAAAAAAUGGCCAUUCAAAUUCAAAUGAUCAUCGCUGAAAACAAAUCCCAAAUUCUACAGGCUGCGUACAACAGAGAAACAGAUCAUUGAUACAAUUACAAAAUGCAAAAUGGAUCGAGGCAAUCGCCAUUAGAAAGAGAAAAAGCUAAACAAAGAGGUUAAUCGGAAAACAAAAUAGGUUUUUCAAAAAACUAACAAAUUCAUCACGUAGGUUGAUGAUAGAUAGGUUGAUGAUAGAUAAAGAUAGAUUCAUGGAGAAGUAGAGGAAGAAGAAGAUGACAGAGGAGUGAUUCUCUGUUUUCUAUUGAAACAGAGACAAGAGGAAAAAAUGAGUUUAAGAACGUUCCGAAAAAUUUGGCCUCUUUUAGGGAUGAAUCUGGGAGACGAGCGAGUUUCGGCGACGCUUCGAACGAGUCUAGUGCGCGGUGAAGAGGUAAGUGGCUGUACGAGUGCCGCCAUUUUUUAAGCUGAGCUGUGAUUCUGAAGGUAAAGCGACGGAGUUGGGAGUUAUUACCGACGAGGAGAGGGGCCUGGGGAUUCUAAUAGGCAAACCGUGUGUCCCUGCGCUACACGUAACCGUGUGUGGUGGUUUACUCCCUCUCUUUACAAAUAUAUGUAUAUACAUA
rnacentral:lncRNA from 1 species